GACGAACGCUGGCGGCGUGCCUAAUACAUGCAAGUCGAACGCAGUGGGGACGGGUGAGUAACACGUGGGUAACCUCCCAUCAGAGGGGAUAACACUUGGAAACAGGUGCUAAACCGAUACUGAUGGAUGGACCCGCGGUGCAUUAGCUAGUUGGUGAGGUAACGGCUCACCAAGGCCACGAUGCAUAGCCGACCUGGUAGGGUGAGCGGCCACACUGGGACUUAGACACGGCCCAGACUCCUACGGGAGGCAGCAGUAGGGAAUCUUCGGCAAUGGACGAAAGUCUGACCGAGCAACGCCGCGUGAGUGAAGAAGGUUUUCGGAUCGUAAAACUCUGUUGUUAGAUAAGCGGUAUCUUACCAGAAAGGGACGGCUAACUACGUGCCAGCCGCCGCGGUAAUAC
rnacentral:rRNA from 1 species